rnacentral:rRNA from 1 species
CCUACGGGGGGCAGCAGUGGGGGAUAUUGCACAAUGGGGGGAACCCUGAUGCAGCGACGCCGCGUGGGUGAAGGAGUAUUUCGGUAUGUAAAGCCCUAUCGGCAGGGAAGAAAUUGGACGGUACCUGACUAAGAAGCCCCGGCUAACUACGUGCCAGCAGCCGCGGUAAUACGUAGGGGGCAAGCGUUAUCCGGAUUUACUGGGUGUAAAGGGAGCGUAGACGGUGAAGCAAGUCUGAAGUGAAAGGCGGGGGCUCAACCCCCGGACUGCUUUGGAAACUGUUUGACUGGAGUGCAGGAGAGGUAAGUGGAAUUCCUAGUGUAGCGGUGAAAUGCGUAGAUAUUAGGAGGAACACCAGUGGCGAAGGCGGCCUGCUGGGCUUUAACUGACGCUGAGGCUCGAAAGCGUGGGGAGCAAACAGGAUUAGAUACCCUUGUA